rnacentral:misc_RNA from 1 species
UCUCCGUAGGUGAACCUGCGGAGGGAUCAUUACAGAGUAUCAUGCCCUUCGGGGUAGAUCUCCCACCCUGUGUAUUAUAUACCUUUUGUUGCUUUGGCGGGCCGCCUCGGCCACCGGCUCCGGCUGGUGCGUGCCCGCCAGAGGACCCCAAACUCUUUUGUUUAGUGAUGUCUGAGUACUAUAUAAUAGUUAAAACUUUCAACAACGGAUCUCUUGGUUCUGGCAUCGAUGAAGAACGCAGC